CCCGGCCCGCCCAGACCCUUGGCCCCGAGCGGAUGGCGCCUGCAGCGGGACGCUGGGCCCCCGGCCUGUGGCGGACCUGCAACGGGCUCAUGGCCGCCUUCUUCGCGCUGGCGGCCUUGGUGCAGGUGAACGAUCCAGAUGCAGAACUGUGGAUGGUGGUGUACAUGAUCCCUGCUGUGCUGACCUUGCUUGUUGGACUUAACCCCCUUGUCACGGGUACGAACCCUGGAUUCUGCAGGGAGAUACAGCAGAUCAGACUUCUUAUAAUAAUGACAGACUCCCAGGAGAAACACGGGGCUGUCCAGGUCUUCUCGUUUCUGAUGAUGAGAGGGGCUAAUUCUAAUCUAGGUCACCCAGACCAUCUCCAGGCAAGUGUCACAAGGACCGGCCAUACCAAGACCGUCUUUUACCAACUCGGAACCCAAGAGCGUUUAUGCUCGUGGGCAACAGUGGUUCUGCGGGUUAGCCCGUGAGAGAGAAGGGCGUCAGUCACCGCGCUGAUUUCUAAAGCCACCAAGCUGAUAGAAAAUCAGCAACAAAGUGCUAACCUGGUAUCUCCAGAGUCAGUGGCAACCAGUGUCUAUUAUAUGUUUACUCUUCAUCAAUAUAUGGCCGGCUACUCUAUGUAGAGAAACGGUUUAUGACAUCCAUACAAAUGUCUAGGUUUUGCAUUAAUACGUAUCACCCCCGCCCCCAGCCUCCCUCUGUCCUGUCGUGGUACCUACUACAAUUUAUUUCAUGCUUUUUUAUGUUUUCCCCCCACUAGGCUGUACGCCCCUUAAAAGUCGGACCAUGUCUAGCCCAUCUUUGCCCAAGCCCCGCUGAAAUAAGGCUACGAAUACGGUUUGGUACCAAUGCUUGUUGAGUGAAUGGAUGGCUGUAACCCAGAGGCUUUAUCAUACAUUUUAUAAACUGCUCCUUGGAAUGAAAAAAAAUACAUAUGUAUACACACACACGUAUAUACAUAUAUUUUUUUUUCAUUUCACAUACAUAUAUAAAAUCUGCCAGGUGGGUAUACAUAUAAAGAAAUUCCCUUAAAAUAUCAGGUCUAUGUUGCCCACAAGCUACCUACUUCGAUGCGGGCAAAACAUAGUCGCUUUGCCUUUUACAGCCCCAAAAACUCAACGAACCUUGAGGUGGACAGUUUUAUACCUUAAAACCGUGUCUCAUAACAAAAAAGAAAUUACAUUUUACUGUGUUUACUAACAUUUUCUUAUUAACAGGACUGUUGGUCCUGAUGGGUUAUUCUUCACUGUCGUGAAAACAGCUCCUUUGCCAGUGAGUCCUCAGAGUUCUCAGGGCCUUAGAAUAAAGACCAGUGGCUCCCAGCUGGAUGGGGAAAACUCGUGUCCCCUAGAUGCACGCGCUCCUCGUACAGGUGCCGGGAACUCUUGUCCGCAUCUUUAAGGUGCAGUGGUUUGGGCUCCAUUAGUUGCCGGCAAGGAAAACACUGAACUCAAACGGGCUGUGAGCUCGAAUGGAGACGUACUGGGGUACGUGACUGAAAGAAACGCAGGGGUGGUGCUCGCUUCAGGCACUGGCUCAGAACUCUCGGCACCUCUCUGUUCCACCGUGUGCCAAUGGACUUCCGUCCAGGGCCCCUCGUGGUAGCCCGGCAGGUCAAAGUUCACUUCUUCCUGCCCGCUCAGUCCAACAGAAGAUAGGAUCUGCUUCCCGAUAUCUCCACCGACGUCUCAGAAUUGAGUUGUCGGCCCUGAUUUGUCAGCUGUUCUUCUGGAGCCAAAUCACCACCGCUAAAGGGAUGAAAUGCACUGAAUAAUCAAGCUAAGGCAACAUCAUUUGGAAGAGUAUCUCUGCUAUACACACAUUCCUGUGUAUCGUGUGGGCUGUCGGCUUGGCGGGCCACCUCUGGCUUCAUUCACAACAGAACGUCUUACAUGAGGAAGAAGGCAG